ensembl:lncRNA
GAUGUGGUCCCAACUGUGUUGACAAGAGCUCAAACUGCCCCAUUGACAUCCUGACAAAGCGGUGGUGAUACAGCUUCAACUCUGGGAUCAAACCAUCAAAUCUUCCCUGCUGCGUCUUCUUCAGGACCAAGAGCAUGGCUUAAAAUGUGACUGCUGUUCCAGAGCCACCCAGUGAUCAAAGGCCAAGGCACAUCACCAUGUGGUUGAGCACAUGAUUCUAUUGCAGGAUUCAACAGCAAUCAUCGAAGAGGAUACUGUUUCUACGAAUUAAGUCCAAAGGUGAAACAUCCCCUUUUAUCAUCUUAAUUGAGGGUAAUUAAGAUAGGCAUUUAUAUCAUUGCAGCAAUGGACAGUAGUUACCCAGACUUUAUAGUUUAAUGGCUUGCUUUGUUUUUUAGACAAUCAGAUUUACAGUUAAAAAUUUUUUUUAAAAAAUACCUUAGUGUACAGUUUCUUACAGGGUGGUACCCAACUUUUACAGAUUGUUUCAACCCCUA